UACGUAGGGGGCAAGCGUUGUCCGGAUUUAUUGGGCGUAAAGAGCUCGUAGGCGGUUUGGUAAGGUCUGGUGUGAAAUCUCCACGCUCAACGUGGAGGGGCCACCCGAUACUGCCAUGACUGGAGUCCGGUAGAGGAGUGUGGAAGUUCCCGGUGUAGCGGUGAAAUGCGCAGAUAUCGGGAGGAACACCCGUAGCGAAGGCGGCAC
rnacentral:rRNA from 1 species